AUAUAUAUAUACAUAUAUACAUAGGCUACAGAGUAGACUGUAUAAAAUCUUAUUGUGUGCCAUUGGCUUUGCCUCUACCUGGUUGAUCAAUUCGCCAAUAUAUUCCAUCACAAACUCGUCUUUAACGAAAAUAAUGGUGCUCGGUCGACGCUUGCUUGCUCUGAUUGUUCCCGUUGCUGCAAUCUCUAAUCUCGUUGCUGUUCUUUAUCGAGACCUUCGUCGUAAUCCGCGUACACUUCGCCGUCGUCUAUUACCAUCUGUAAUUAUACGUCUAGAAUUCGUCGCUGCUACCGUGUACACGUAACCGUUCUGUUUACGUACGUAGGUCAGAGCCUACGAGCAAGCGAGCGUCGGCAAGCCGAGCAUCUAUCAUCAUUCUCGUUAAAGAAGAAUUUGUGGUGGAAUAUAUUAGCAAAUUGAUCAAUCAGGCAGAGGCAAAGCUAACGGCACACAAUGAGAUUCUUUGCUGCUCUCGUAACUUAUAAUUUCUGAAAAUUUUUAGGAUUCUUACCUGACUGUGUAAAACAUGCCGAUAACCAACGAAAACCUACUACGGCCAUAUUGCUUUUUAGUUCACUUGUGCAUGCAGAUGGUGUUGGCGGAGCGAGUACAAAUAAGGAUAGCAUAUGGACAUACAAAGUGGUCCAUUUUAGGAUAUCCCUUCAAUGUCCACAAAUGUAUAUCCUAUGGAUAUCCUUAUAAGGUCCAUGGACAUCAGGACAAGAAAUGGACAUAAAACGGAUAUCCAUAAGAUAUCCUGUGCUGUCUGGAUAUUAUGAAAUAAGAUUAAUACUUUGUGUUAUGUUAUAUUUUUAGUUAUUAUGAAAGAAAGAGAGGAAGAAACACUAUUGAAAAUUAAAGUAAAAGAAGAAUAGAUAAAAGAAAAGAGUGAAUGGUGAGGAGAGAAAUGCUUGGAAUUUACAAAGUGCUCGACAGAAUAUACAUAUAUGGACUCUAAAGCGAACCAUCAUAGAGAAUUGGCAGUACAAUUCAUAUCAAAAGGAUUACCUGAAAGUGUACUUUUGUUACGGACAAAAAUUUCAAAAACCGAUUUGUAACGUUCCGUUGAAGACUACUCGAUACGGGGGCAGCUUUCGUUCUUUUGUCUAACGGGGCUCUCAAUUUAUUUGUUUUAGGGCGACCGCAGCACGUCUGCUUAUUUCCCAGGGAUACGCCGAGAGCCGGAAGGAUCGUUUAUCGCGUUUGAGAGAGAAAUAAAUGGGAUGAGAGACAGGAUAAAUAAACGUGUUUAUUAUUUAUCAAUCAGUAUUAAUCUUCAUUUAUUGAAUACAUAACCAAUAUAUAUAUAUAAUAAGAUAAAUAAUGAAAAGAGUACGUUGAUUACUCGAAAUAGUAUGUAGUAGAUAGACCCAAAAUAUGCAUAUGAAACAACUAAAUAAAGUAGUGAGUAUAAGUAUGUUAUUAAGUUAUUUAUAAUCAAGUAAAAUAUGAAUUCAUUUAACGUUUAGUCAUUUAAUAAAAACAAAUCGAUUUAUGAAAUCUAAUUGAUUUAACUCUGACUUGAAUGAUUUUACAACCUGGAUAAAAAUUAUUUACUUUAUUGAUUGGAUAAACUUGUGAUGAAUAUUUCUUGUGUUAUUAAGUAGGCUGCCAGUUCAGCCGAAUUCUUGACGUCUGAAGAAUGGUUAAUUGUGUUAGUGUUUAAGCGUCUUACCUUGUUUUUGUGAAGUACUAUGGAGAUGAGGGAAAAGAAAGGUAUUGCCUCAUGAUUAUAAUUGUUUGUUCAAGAUUAAUUAAUUGUGAUAGCUCAUUUCAAAAUUCAUGUAAUAAAAGCAAAUUCGCUACUAGUCUAGUGGCGUGAACGUAUCCCUUGCGACUCUAUUCUCGCUCUUGGCGGUUCCCACGUCACAUCGGGAGUAAAAUAAAAAUAAAAAAAAAGAAAUAGAGCCAGGAGUCACCAGACAGGUAGGACAUACAUUCGAAUACUUCCUCAAUUGUUCUUUCAGAUUUCGCGUAUUAGAAUAAAAGAAAAUCACUGUCAAUCAGGGUUUGUGAACGUAUCUUACGACUCCACUCUCGCUAGGCGGUAUCCCACGUCACAUCGG
rnacentral:lncRNA from 1 species